GGCUAGUUAUCUUUAUUUUUCAGGAUUAUUAUUGGAUGUUAAAAUUAUUUGUCUGCUUAUAUUUUAUGGCCUGUCAUGGGUUGGGUAUCACAAUUUCAUCUGUACUAGAGUCAAACUCCUUGGGAGUUUAGACAGAUCUUUGUUUAUUAAGAAAUGGCUAUCCCCAGCCCAAACAACGCAAAAAAGAAAGUUGACAAAAAGGAUGGCUGCAAAUUCAAGUGCAUCAUGGAAAUAUCUUUCAGAAGCAACAAAAAUGAAAAAGGAAAAGAGGUUAAAAAAAAAUAUUUACGGUAUACUAACAUCAAGAAAUGAAGGAAAGUGGGAUAGCAAAUAAAAGAGGAAAUAAUUGGCAAACAC
rnacentral:misc_RNA from 1 species